rnacentral:rRNA from 1 species
CCCUUAGAUGUUCUGGGCCGCACGCGCGCUACACUGAUGAAUUCAACGAGCUCCUAACCUAGGCCGAGGGGUCCGGGUAAUCUUUGAAAUUUCAUCGUGAUGGGGAUAGAUUAUUGCAAUUAUUAAUCUUCAACGAGGAAUUCCUAGUAAGCGCGAGUCAUCAGCUCGCGUUGAUUACGUCCCUGCCCUUUGUACACACCGCCCGUCGCUCCUACCGAUUGAAUGGUCCGGUGAAAUGUUCGGACCGCGACAAGGCGGACGGUUCGCUGUCAGCUUUGCUGCGGGAAGUUCAUUAAACCUUAUCAUUUAGAGGAAGGAGAAGUCGUAACA